UACGUAGGGGGCGAGCGUUGUCCGGAGUUACUGGGCGUAAAGCGCACGCAGGCGGUCUGUUAAGUUUGGAGUGACAGUUGGUGGCUCAACCACCAAAGUGCUUUGAAAACUGAUAGACUUGAGGGCUUCAGAGGGACACGGAAUUCCGGGUGGAGUGGUGAAAUGCGUAGAGAUCCGGAGGAACACCAAAGGCGAAGGCAGUGUCCUGGGGAGUACCUGACGGCUC
rnacentral:rRNA from 1 species